rnacentral:misc_RNA from 1 species
AUCGCAUAGAGGAGGACAUGGCUGCCAAAAACAACACAGAAGAACAAAGACAUCAGGAAGGAAGAAAGAUAAAACUUCGUAAAUUGAUCACAGAAUCUUAUGAUGAAAAUGACGUAAAUCUCUCUGCAAAAUCUUUGAAAAACAUCAAUCAUCCGCACUAAACAGCAAUACAAAUAGAUAUAGGGGAUACUAUAUUUACUCCAGUCAAAACUAUUCACUUAUCAUAAAGGAAUUUGAAUUUCAAAAGCACUGAUAGAUGGGAAAGUUAGAGCAAUUUUUUGAGGAAUACCGAAACAAUUCCAGCAUCACAUAA